GUGGUAGAAGGCAGCAUUUCUGACAGGGCUGGCGGUGNCNAGCAUUUCCCCACCAAAUCAGUGUCUUAAAACUGUGUUCCUCUCCCAGGUCUCAGAAAGUGCAAGCGAGCUGGAAUUGGACACACCCCAGUAAGAGAGCUUCCUGAAGAAUGAGUUGCUUUCUCAGGAGUCCCUGAUGACAAACAUCCUGAAUGAAAACACAACUUGAGAGACAACUUGGGGGACCGCCUUUCAUUAUGUGUGCUAGAGGAGAAACACCAAUACGUCUGUGCUUCUACAUGUUCGUUAAGAAUAUGCUUAUGUUUAGAAAUUUUUUUGUUAUGAUUUUAAUUGAAGUUUUCUUUUUGUUGUUUCAUAUUUAUGUGUUCUUGUUACUAUUUUUACUUUCAAAUAUUUUUAAAUAUUUUUAUUCAUUUUAAUCCUGUUGUGUUGUAAAAAUGUAUUUGUUAUGAAUAAAAAUUGAAUUCUAUCUCUUGACUCUUAAGACCAUCAUUCUUACUCAAGGGUUCUGUGGACCUAGAACUGACAGCUAGAGAUGGAUCUCUGCAUGUUCCAUGGAGCCUGGGCUAAUAAGUGAAUUCAAACUCACUAAGGGGUACCCAGUGUGAUAGUGUUUUUUGUGUGGAUAAUGUGGCUGUGUCUCCAACAAACACUUUAUGAUGUAAUCACUGACAUACUUUACCCAAUUGUUAGGGGCAUGUGGUUCUUCUGAGAGAGCAGCAGAUGCUCUAACCUGUGAGUCAUCACCACAGCUCCUGCAGGUGGCUUUUGUUAUUCCACAUGAGGUGCUGUAUUAGGUGGACAAGAUCACCUAUGAUUAAAUAGAGAGAUCUCAGGAGAUGUGUGUUCACAGGGAACUUACUAAACUUGCCUGCUCAACGUGUUAGGUUGCCAGGCAUCCCUACAGAGCUCUGGUGUUCUGGACAGCUUCAUCACCUGCCUACUGGUGGUAUGAGGAUAUUGUCUGGGAGAAAUUGUGCAGAUGACUGAAGCAGAAGUCCGAGGGCUGUGUAUCACGUCUCGUGAAAUCGUUCUUAGCCAGCCAACAGCUGUGAAUACAGGUUUCUUUUGGAGAGCAGGCCUGUGCAGGCCCAGAACCUAGGUGGGACAAUUCAAGCUACCCUUUUUCCAUGGCCAAUCUCAUAUCAUAUUCAGAAAGUAUUUCUUGGGCUAAAGAGAUGGCUUAGUGGUUAAGAGCACUGACAGCUCUUCCAGAGGUCCUGAGUUCAAAUCCCAGCAACCACAUGGUGGCUCACAACCAUCUGUAAUGAGAUAUGAUGCCCUCUUCUGGUCUGUCUGAAGACAGUCACGGUGUACUUGUAUACUAUAAAUAAAUAAAUAAAUCUUUAAAAAAAAAGAGUAUUUCUUCCAGGUGAUGGAUUUCCAAUUUAUGGAAUUGAACUAACUUACUGAUGGUGGAAGUGACACAGAGAGUUAAAGUACAGAAGGAAUAAUCCAGAAUGUCCACCAACAGUUGCUGUCACACCAGGGCUUUUAAAAGCUCAGCUGUUAGAGAAGCAAGGUAGUCUUUGGUCAUUCUCAAGCUUAGGUCUUCUAGUCAUUAUAAGGUGACCAUGACAGAAAAAGAGUCAUCUAUAUCAAAAUAGAGAAUAGUAACUAGAUUCACACCACACUAUCACAUUACUACUGUUUUUGAGGUUCUCAGUUAAUAUCUAAGAACCUGGAAGAGGCCUGGGUCUUGCUACACAUACUCAUAAUUUAUGUCCCCAUUGUCAGCUGAGAUUCUUCAUGCAGCCUGGGGUCAAGGAGGUCAUCCCACAAAGCACAAAACACCCAUCUCAGAUAAACAUGUAUGGUUUAUUGAAUCCAAAACAUCCAUGAAAUCCAGGACACAAUUAAAUGUUGAAACCUAAGGAUAAUAGAUAGAGAAGAGAAUUAAGAUUUCUAGUUCAUAGAUCCAGUAAACACCUUCAACAAAUCAUAGCAGCAAACUUCCAUAAGGUAAAGAAAGAAAAGGCCAUAAAGGUACAACAAGCCUACAGAACAUCAAACUAAUUGUACCAGAAAAAUUCCUCCAUUCACAUAAUAAUUAAGACGCUAAAUGCACAGAUCAAGGAAGAACAUUAAAAGGGGUAAGGUAUAAAUAUCUAGUAACAAAUAAAUUCAGACGUAUCUGAAUUACACCAGACUUCUCAACAGAGAUUCUAAAAGUCAGAAAAUCUUGGGCAGAUGUAAUGCAGACACAGGCUCCUAUAUCCAGCAUAAUCCUCAAUCACCAUAAAAGGAGGAACCAGGAUAUUUCAUGACAAAACCAAAUUUAAAGAAUUCUUUUCUGUAGGAAAGCACAACAGAGGCUAAUAGGAGGAAAACUCCAAGACAAUGAACUAAACUAUACCCAAGAAAAACCAAGAAAUUAAUCUUCUCUCAAUAAUUUAAAAAAAGAGAAGCACACAAACAUAAUUUCACCUAUAACCAGAAAAAGAAGAGAAUGCAGCAAUCAUUGGCUUUAAUAUCUGAACAGAUCUUCUUUCCCUAAUCCCCAAGCUCCCAGGGGCCAAACUGCCAGCCAAAGUGUAUGCAAGGAUGCUCUAUGGUUCAGGUGAGGCCUGUUGCCCACCAAAUGGAGAUCCUAGAGGUGUGAGGUGGGGAUGGAUAUGUGUGGGUGGGGAAGCACUGUCACAUAGGCAAAGCUGAGCAGAAAAGGGAUGUAAGGUUUGAUGAGGGGAGUGUGGAAAGCAGGACAACAGUUGAAAUGUAAAUAAAUAAAAUAACCGUUUAAUAAAAAAUAGCCAAAAAUAAAAUAACAAGUAAAAAGGUAAAUGAAAAUUAAACCAAACCAAACAAACAAACAAACAAAACCCCUAUAGUGUAUUGGCCUAAUGCUGCUUGUAUUUUAAUGCUAAUUGUAGAACUCAAGACUGGUUAACCCCAAAUAACUGACCCUGCUCCCAGUUAACUGUGAUUAUAAUGAAGCCAACAGCCAACAGCUGCACAGCAGAGAGAUGGGGGAGGUGAGCUUUGAGGGCUUUGCUAGAGAGGAUCAUGAGGAGGGAAGAAGGAAGAAGAAGCUGCCAGAGAAUAAAGGAAAAANCGUGUGUGAUGGAGAGGAGAGAGGAAGAGGACAGCAGCCAUGGUUAAGGGAGAGGAGAGCCUGGUCCUGAGGGCUGUCCAAGGGAACAAAGAGCAGCUAAGAUGCUACACAGUCAGUAAGAGUUGAGCCUUAUUGUUUGGAAAGUAGAUCUGGUCCAUGGAGGUCAGGCAGCUGCACAGCUACUGUGCUGACUAAUGCACACUAAAAAUAAAUUUAACACAAUAUGAGUAACCAGUAAGACAGCUCUGUAGCGGAUCCUAAAAGAAUUACUUUAGUUUGAAGGGAAGGACAAAACACCAGAGAACACAGGGGAUAAAUUAAUAAAACUAAGAAAGUUAAUCAAAGAAGACUGUGAAAACCACAAAAAUUAACAAAAUGACAAAAUUUAAUACAUAGGUUUAAAUAAUAAUUACAUAUCACUAAACUCAAUAUCUAGGGUGGUGGGGCAUGAAUUCUGCCAUGGUCUGAACUCAGAAAGGUGGGGUUGGGAGAAACAUGUCUGGUUAAAUAGUCCACCCACAUUGUGUCAAUGUUAUUUAAUCUAAGGACAAAGAAGUGGAGUUUCUCUCAUGGCUUUCUUCUAACCCCUUGAAAGGAUCACUGGGGUGUGGCCUCAGUACUUCAUACUUCUUGCUGGGUCAGCGAAACUCAAGGAAGCUUGAGAUUGUCAUAGCACAGUAUUAGGCUAGAUAUACUGAGUAGAUGAUACUAAGUUGUUCAGAUGGUGAUACCCAUUUGCAUGUGUUCUUAAUGUGGACCUAAGGAAAGAGAG
rnacentral:lncRNA from 1 species